UACGUAGGGUGCAAGCGUUGUCCGGAAUUAUUGGGCGUAAAGAGCUCGUAGGCGGUCUGUCGCGUCUGCUGUGAAAACUCGGGGCUUAACCCCGGGCCUGCAGUGGGUACGGGCAGACUAGAGUGCGGUAGGGGAGACUGGAAUUCCUGGUGUAGCGGUGAAAUGCGUAGAUAUUGGGAGGAACACCGGUGGCGAAGGCGGCCCCCUGGACCGGUACUGACGCUGAGGCGCGAAAGCGUGGGUAGCAAACGGG
rnacentral:rRNA from 1 species